rnacentral:rRNA from 1 species
AUUGAACGCUGGCGGCAGGCCUAACACAUGCAAGUCGAGCGGCUCGGCAGACGGGGGAGGAAGGCCUAGGUAUCUGCCUCGUAGUGGGGGAUAACGUCCGGUACCGGACGCUGAUCACGCUUCCUCUCACAUCAGCCUAGGUCGGAGUAGUGAGUUGGUGGGGUAAAGGCCUACCAAGGCGACGAUCCGUAACUGGUCUGAGAGGAUGAUCAGUCACACUGGAACUGAGACACGGGCCAGACUCCUACGGGAGGCAGCAGUGGGGAAGAUUGGACAAUGGGCGAAAGCCUGAUCCAGCCAUGCCGCGUGUGUGAAGAAGGUCUUCGGAUUGUAAAGCACUUUAAGUUGGGAGGCGUUACCAACAGAAUAAGCACCGGCUAACUUCGUGCCAGCAGCCGCGGUAAUUC